rnacentral:rRNA from 1 species
CUUAGUGGCGGACGGGUGAGUAACGCGUGGGUAACCUGCCUCACACUGGGGGAUAACAGUUAGAAAUAGCUGCUAAUACCGCAUAAGCGCACAGUUCCGCAUGGAACAGUGUGAAAAACUCCGGUGGUAUGAGAUGGACCCGCGUCUGAUUAGCUAGUUGGUGGGGUAACGGCCUACCAAGGCGACGAUCAGUAGCCGGCCUGAGAGGGUGAACGGCCACAUUGGGACUGAGACACGGCCCAAACUCCUACGGGGAGGCAGCAUG